AUUGAACGCUGGCGGCAGGCCUAACACAUGCAAGUCGAACGAGUGGUGGACGGGUGAGUAAUGUCUGGGAAACUGCCUGAUGGAGGGGGAUAACUACUGGAAACUGUAGCUAAUACCGCAUACCAUCGGAUGUGCCCAGAUGGGAUUAGCUAGUAGGUGAGGUAAAGGCUCACCUAGGCGACGAUCCCUAGCUGGUCUGAGAGGAUGAUCAGCCACACUGGGACUGAGACACGGCCCAGACUCCUACGGGAGGCAGCAGUGGGGAAUGUUGCACAAUGGGGGAAACCCUGAUGCAGCCAUCCCGCGUGUAUGAUGAAGGCCUUCGGGUUGUAAAGUACUUUUGGCAGGGAAGCGGUAUCUGCAGAAGAAGCACCGGCUAACUACGUGCCAGCCGCCGCGGUAAUAC
rnacentral:rRNA from 1 species